rnacentral:rRNA from 1 species
CCCUUAGAUGUUCUGGGCCGCACGCGCGCUACACUGAUGCAUGCAACGAGUUUAUAACCUUGGCCUGAAAGGUCUGGGUAAUCUUUUGAACGUGCAUCGUGAUAGGGAUAGAUUAUUGCAAUUGUUAAUCUUGAACGAGGAAUUCCUAGUAAACGCGAGUCAUCAGCUCGCAUUGAUUACGUCCCUGCCCUUUGUACACACCGCCCGUCGCACCUACCGAUUGAAUGGUUCGGUGAAGAUCUCGGACUUCGAUAUUUAUUCUUUAUUGAGUUUAUAUUGUGGGAAGUUAUCUAAACCUCAUCAUUUAGAGGAAGGUGAAGUCGUAACA